AGUGAACGCUGGCGGUAGGCCUAACACAUGCAAGUCGAACGGCAGCACAGUAAGAGCUUGCUCUUACGGGUGGCGAGUGGCGGACGGGUGAGGAAUACAUCGGAAUCUACUUUUUCGUGGGGGAUAACGUAGGGAAACUUACGCUAAUACCGCAUACGACCUACGGGUGAAAGCAGGGGAUCUUCGGACCUUGCGCGAUUGAAUGAGCCGAUGUCGGAUUAGCUAGUUGGCGGGGUAAAGGCCCACCAAGGCGACGAUCCGUAGCUGGUCUGAGAGGAUGAUCAGCCACACUGGAACUGAGACACGGUCCAGACUCCUACGGGAGGCAGCAGUGGGGAAUAUUGGACAAUGGGCGCAAGCCUGAUCCAGCCAUACCGCGUGGGUGAAGAAGGCCUUCGGGUUGUAAAGCCCUUUUGUUGGGAAAGAAAAGCAGCAGGUUAAUACCCCGCUGUCCUGGCGGUACCCAAAGAAUAAGCACCGGCUAACUUCGUG
rnacentral:rRNA from 1 species